UGAUCAAAAUUAUAAACGCAACACUUUUGUUUUUGCACCCAUUUUUCAUGAGCUGAACUCAAAGAUCUACGACUUUUUCUAUGUAAUAAUCAUGCUGUCUAAUCAGCAUCUUGAUAUGCCACACCUGUGAGGUGGAUGGAUUAUCUUGGCAAAGAAGAAGUGCUGACUAACACAGAUUUAGAAAGAUUUGUGAACAAUAUUUGAGAGAAAUAGGCCUUUUGUUUACAUAGAAAAAAGUCUUAGAUCUUUGAGUUCAGCUCAUGAAAAAUGGGGGCAAAAACAAAUGUGUUGCGUUUAUAAUUUUGUUCA